rnacentral:lncRNA from 1 species
AUGGCAUUAUUAAAUGAAGUAAAAAAAAAAAAGAAGGCUGCAAAAAUCAAGGGACAAGUAAACAGACAAUCAUUGAUGGAGACUAACAGACGGUCUGUGAAAGAGUUGGAGGGAGGGAGGUAUAGAAAGGGACAGCUGUGGCUUUGGCCAGAAGCACAAAGAUGGUGUUUCCCCCCCGCCUCCUUCCUCUCAUUAACACUCACACAGAGUGUUGCACUUUUUAGCACGUGCUGCCACACAUGUAAAUGCAAAAUAAGUGUCUUAUUUGGACUUAAAGAAGGGGAAAGGCAAAUGGGAUGAAGGAUCUUCUGACAGGCUUAGGAGGAGAAGGAGAGGCAUAAUUGCAGUUUCUGGGAUCAUCGGUUUGAUACCACAUAAUGGGAGACUGCUGAACCGUGAGUCAUGACCGAAGGAAAUACCAGUGACAGGCGAAACUGCAGGAAGUGUGUGUGUGUGUAUGUUGUGACUCUCUGAUGUUUUAAGAAGGCAGUAACGAUCACAACGAACGAACACUCGCAUGACCUCAGCUUUGGUACAGUCCUUCUGUGUGUGUGUGUGUGUGUGCAGAUUGAUGAACAGUGUCAGGAUGUUGAAUCACUCUAUUUAUUGGCUCUGUAUUUGCUUCAUGUAGAAUUCUCUUAUUUCCUUCCUUUACACUCACUCUCAGACCUUAUUUGAAUACUUCAGUUCCUCACCUGCUGGUGGCUGUCAGGCACGUGCCCCUCCUGGUUGCACCUGUGUGAGAGUGUGUGUGUGCUGCAUGUCUCUGCCUGCAUGUAUGUUUUUUUGUGUAGGGGAAAGAACAGGUUUAGGCAUGUCUGUAAUGUUGGCGUCACAGUCAGAAUACAUAUUUAAAUAAACAGCUUUGCAUGUCUGUUAGAGAUUUGCAAAAAAACAAAUUUAAUCUACACUACCGUUCAAAAGUUUGGGUCAGUAUUUGUUUUAUUUUUAUUAAGAAAGGAUGAAUUAAAAUGAUCAAAAGUGACAGUAAAUACUUAUUUAGUGACAGUUAAUUAUUUUAAUUUGUAAAAAUACUUUACAAUAUUGAUGAUUUAUUAUAUUUGUGAUAAAAUAAAUGCAGACAUGGUUAGCAUAAGAGACUUCUAUCAAAUAUCAUAUCAACCCCAAGUUUUGAAUGGCACUGCACAUAACCCGUAAACAGAGUAAUGCAUGUGUCUCAAAAGAUUCUCUGUUGUUUACUGGGAAUUGCUUUUCACGUCUGAAGACACUCCCUUUAAGUAAACAUAGUUUUCUCAGAAUUUAUGAAAUGAUGACUCAUUCAGCUGAAUAAUUAUGCCACAUAUUACCUGCAGGUAUUUGGAUAUGGGGCCAAACCUUAUGUUUUCGUAUUUUAAUGAUUCAUAUCUCAUGAUUUGUCAUGUUUUGACAUGUAUUUACUUUUGCAGAAACGCUUGAUUUGUUGUUUAUAUUAUAUGUUUUAUGUAUUUAUCUUGAUAAGGUUUUGUUUUUAACUUUCAGUUUUGAUUCAUUUUAAUUCAUACUGCUGACAUUUACCUUAUAACAUUAGAUGCACUUCCUUGAUAAUCAUAUCAUGCCCCGUGUCCACAUUCACAUAUGGCACGUCCUAAAGAGUAGAAGCAGUUUAUGGUGUUUCCUUUUAGACCUUUCAGUUAAGUGUCAAGAAACAUUAGUUGUUACAGUUUAAAAUGUACAAACGUAUAGUAUUAAAUAAUGAAUUUAAAGGUAAUGAAUUUAGCUAGAAGCCAAAACUAUGCACAUCAAGUGGAUAUAGCAGUAUAAAGAUGGUAUUUUAUAAUGUAGUAGCAUGUCCCAAUUAAUAAAUUCUCAAAAGUAUGGAAUUUCCCAUCACCAAUGUAGUCUCUAAUUUUUAUUAUAUGUGUGAAUUUGGAUGCUGUCAUUGUCUUAAUUUGCUCAACAUCUCAUUCGAAUUUCUACCGUUUACAUAACUGUAUAUUUACACACCCACUAAUCCCAGAAUCUAAUUACAGAGAGGGAGAGGUGAGUAUACACACUAAAGCUGAUUGAGUGGUUAUUUGCCGUACUGUUCUCACUGUAAGCUUAAGAGCUAGCAACCUCUCAAAUUAUCUCAAGAAAACCAUCUUGUGUGUUAUAAAUGAUCUACAUUUAUGUUCUUUUCUUGAAAAGAGAACCACAAACCAUUUUAAAUGGUCUUCACUUAUGGACAGAGAGAGACUUGAUCUCAACAUGUGCCAAAGGAUGUCUUCAGUUCUUGCCUUUUCUGUCAGUCAGUCAGUGAUUGUUAUGUAAAAUGGCUCUGGUCUGGCUGGAAAUAGCUGUCCCUUUGUUAUACAUCCUAAUUCAAGAGCAGAGGAUUCAGCAAAGUGAACGAAGAUAACUUCUGCAAACAGACAGACUGUCUGGCUUUUUAGCUUGUUUAUAAUCCAGUUAAUUACCAAUUCUGUGUUGCUUCUAAAAGGUACUGUACAUUGAAGCCAAAAGAGCCUAGUAGUGAUAUAGUGCACUAUAGUUUGCCAUGGGUCACAUAUGACUAACAAAUAACUAGUUGAUUUGUUUUUUCCCUGAAUUUUUAUUUUUAAUUUUGAUAUCUUUAGCAUGCCAUGCUUUAGAGUACUAUAACCAUGCAAAUUCAAAGGAUGCCUUUUAGCAUGACAGUAGAUUCUUGUUUUUGAGUGUCCACCAUAAGCUUUGCAUUUUCAAGAUAUUAAGUCAAAAAUAGCUUCUUCUUUUCUUUUUUUUUUUUUACAAUUUAAUCUUGUCAUCUGAUGUGUGUUGAGUUUGUGACUGUACAUGUGACAAACACGUGACUAAUGUGUUUAGAGAGCUGGAGGGGGCAUGUGAGAUGGCCUUGCUUGCCAUUGGACCUCUAAAUGAAAAAGUAAAUAAAAUAAAAGUCUCAUCCUGUCUUUGAACGUCCAAUCUCUACAUCACAAUCCAAUGCUAGGGCUUGGACUCUACCUGUGACAUCACCAGCUGUAUAUUAGGUCAAAGGGUGUAGUCACAGCAAUAUAUUCCCUUCAGUCUUUUAAUGAUGGCACAACACUUUCAUUAGUCUAAAGGGUUUUGUGAUAAUUGCCACUAGAAACCUGUAAUAACAGAAACUAGAGCAGCAGAGCACAGGGACAUUUUCCUAUUUCCCUCUUCGAUUUCUAGCUUCAUGUAAAGGCUGGAUUGUGCAAAAAUGCAUGUUUCUUUUCAGUGUUUUUUGGCCAUAUUUGCUGUUACUGAA